rnacentral:lncRNA from 1 species
AGCUGCGUGCUGACAUUGCGCAGGUAACACGUGCCGGAGGCCAGACAUGCAAUAUAGGCUCAUGACACUGACUGAUAAUUGUGUAGUGAUGUCCUUGGUUUACCUUAGAGCCGUUUGGUAUCUAUUUGGGACAAGUAGGAACGCUUUAGCAAACUUUAUUCCACCUUUUCCCCUGACAGUCUACUGAAUUGAUUCUUUUCCUAGUCUUUGGUUUCUGGCACAUUCUGGUUUAAGGAUUUUGGCGUGCUGCAGCCCAAGGGUGUUAGAAACCCUCUGAAAGUAAUAGCCAUGACUCAGCAGAAAGUCUUUCCUCGGCUUGAACGACUUAUUCAGCUGUUGGAGGAAACCAAAGCACUUGGCCAGUCGACCAGCACACAGCGGCAGCAGAGCUCUGGGAAGCAGGUGUUCGGGCGAGACAGUGCUUCCAGAGCGUGGACCGAAUCUGUGUCUGUUGUGAAAGGUGUCUCAACUCAGUCCUUUAAAGAUCAAAUGAAGGCUCAGUCUUCAAGUGAACAGAAUGCCACGGUGCCCUCUCUUCCUCUGUCAAACCCAUCUUACACUCAGAAAAGCCAGGAAAAAACACAGCUGAACCACAGCCAGGAUGUCCAAUCUCUCCAGGAACCUGGUCUGUCCGCACACAUCAGUAUCCCACAGCUAGCAGGUCAGAGUGUUUUACUUGAGAGCUUUGAGCUGAACCAGUGUAUGUUUAAGACUCGUAGGUUCUUUUAACCAUGAAGGUCACAUUUGAACCACAGGAGCACACUGAUGCAAAAACGUGAUUUGUUACAUUGCUUUAACACAUGACUCAAGGUGUUAUUGGGGCUAUUAGCAUGUUUUCUAAGGCAGCC